GUGCUCGCUUUGGUAGGAAAUGUACUAGAACUGGAACCAUACAGAGAAGAUUAGCAUGGCCCCUGUGCAAGGAUGACAAGCAAAUGUGUGAAGCGUUCCAUAUUUUU
ensembl:snRNA U6 U6 spliceosomal RNA